UUAAGUACUUGGGAAUGCUCAUGGCACACCUCAUGGAUCUACAGACACAUCCAUAAGGAAAAAAGUUAAACAAACAAUCAAAAUGUCAAGAUAUUCACCCGGCACCAAGGAGAUGGAAUGACCAGAACUAGACAAGAGCAUGAGUGAAGGCGUUUUCUCCUAAAGUACAGAAGAAUUGCCCAGAUCUACUCAACUGAAAGCAAUCAAACUGCCUAACUUGGAUGACAAAUUUAUCUAGAACUGUAGAAGCUACACACACCACUGAAAAAAUACAGGUGAGUAGCUGGAGCUGAGGGAAAUGUAUAAUCCCAAAUGUCAUGAAGACUAGUUUGUACACUGACGGGCAGAAAAAGUACAUUUAAGCACAGAGACAGAUCAGAUGAAAUACAGACUUCUAAAGGAUCAACACUGGGAACUGGUGGACAUAAUCAUCAAAAAGCACAACUGUUUAACUCAGCCCUUGGAUAACUGUCUCCAUGCCCAUGACUGACUUUCUUCAGAAAUUAGUAGCUCUUCUUUUUCAAAUGCCUCUUUGUUCAAUGGAUUUUUUGCACCUUCAGUUUUCACUUAGUAUAAUAGAAUUUUUGAAUCAUUUAGCUUGGAAAAUAUCUCUAGCAGCAUCAAGUCCAACUGUUAACCCAACACUGUCAAGUCCAGCUCUAAACCAUGUCCCCGAAUGCCUUAUCUGCAUGUCUUUUAAAUGCCUCUAGGGAUGGUGACUAAAUCCCUUACCUCCAUGGACAGCCUUUUCCAAUGCUUGACAACAGUUUCAGUGAAAAUGUUUUCCUGAGAUCCAGCACAACUGAGUAAAUCCUAGUAAAUUCCUGUCCUAGCACAACUUGAGUAAAUCUUUCAAACCUGACAACCUGACUCACCAGUACACAUCCAUCUGCACCCUACAGAGGAAACAGUGAAUUGCACUGAUAGAAGACAUGCUGAGCAGAUCCAUUAAAAAAUGGACUUAUGAAAACUAGGCAGUAUCACAGAUUCAAAUCCAAAUCACAUACAAACACUCCACACAUGCAGAUACAUACAUUUGCAGAAUACAUUUUUUGACCAUAAAUAAUACACAAGAUCUCAUUAUUUUAUGGAGAAGGUUUUGUCAGAUGACCUUGACAGAUCCCUCACAAAUCAAGCUGGAUACCAAAACAAAACAGAAACAUACAAAGAAAGAAAAAACUCCAAACAAACAGACCAAAAAAACACCUUUCCAAAAAAACUCCAAAGCCACAGAAUCAAACCUCAUUUUAUCAAUGAAUGAUGCCAUGUUGCCUUUGCAGGAAGGCAAAGGUGUCAAACAAGCCAUGUCAGAUUUUGUCAUUCCAGCUUUGUACAAGCACAUUGCUUGGUUCGGUUAAUAUGGUGAUUGUAGAGCCCAUGCAUUCCCAUCACACUAACCAUUUUCAGGCCAAGAGUAGAUGUUUAUAACCUUUCCUCUUUGCCACAGGUUGAAAUGUCUGUAAUCCAAUCCAUUAAAGUCCUAAUGGGGGAAAGUCACAGGUCAAAGCAGAAAAUCAUAUUGGGUGAACCAGAGUUGCUUAACGAGGUCAAGUGAGACACAUUCCUGCUAGAAUUAUAUUGACAUGUUCUGCCAAGGUAUUCCUUACCAUCCCUGGCCCCCGGCCCUUGACACAUGAACAAAUCUAGUCAAUAUUUGGAGUAAAUUCCCACUAUGACCCUGUUGUGUCAUUGUGAACAUGCAUACCCACAAGUUGAGACAAGAACAGAGGCACUUACAAGAGCAGAAAGGACAGACUGAGACCUCAGUUUAUGAUCAAAGUGGAUGCCAGGGAGGAAUAUUGAACAGAUCAUUGGACUAAAAGCUGGGAA